rfam:Zootermopsis nevadensis contig23749, whole genome shotgun sequence.
GCCACGGUGGUCUAGCGGUUAGAACGCUGGCCUUGUAAUCCUGGGGGGGUCUCGGGUUCGAUUCCCGGCGGUGCCC